AUGUGGAGUGAGGGAACACAAAGGAUAUAUUAUGAGAAACUAGGGAUCAAGAGGGUAGUGGGGGUUACGAGAGUCACUAUCCGAAAAUCUAAAAAUAUCCUCUUUGCCAUCACAAAACCAGAUGUCUACAAGAGCCCAGUUUCAGACAUCUACAUAGUGUUUGGGGAAGCAAAGAUUGCAGAUUUGUCUCAGCAAGCGCAGUUAGUAGCUGCUGAGAAAUUCAAAGUUCAAGGUGAAGCUGUUUCAAACAUUCAAGAAAACACUCAGACUCCAACCGUCCAAGAGGAGAGUGAAGAGGAGGUUGAUGAAACAGGUGUGGAAAUUAAGGACAUAGAAUUAGUCAUGUCACAAGCAAAUGUAUCAAGAGCAAAGGCUGUUCGAGCCCUGAAAAACAACAGUAAUGAUAUUGUAGAUGCUAUUAUGGAAUUAACAAUGUAACUAUUUGACAGCAAAGACAACUCCUCCCCUUUCCCCCCUUUUUGGUGUUUGAAAAGUGGAACUACAGCUUGGUUUAAAAUUUGUACUGUUUCUAUCCCUAAUAAAGUUGUGGCUUCUUGUUGGA